CUGUUGUAUGAAAGGAGAGAAGGUUACACUCCCCUUGACAAGGAUGGAAGAGGCCCUCGGGCCUGACAACACGCAUAUGGUUAAGGCAUUGCCACCUACUUCAUGGCAUCUAACCAACGUUUUUC
rnacentral:ncRNA from 10 species